UUGAGUAAGGUACGUGCUCUGCGUGAAUAGGUAGCAGGAUGCUGGCUCACUUGCAUGAAUUGUUGAGGGUGCGCCGUGUCCGUAGUUGGCUACGAUCUCAGGUACACACUUUCGUUCGGCUAUCCCGCAUCUGCAGGGCUUAAGAAGUCUGGGUUAGAGUGCGUCAGUAGCUGGCCAUCAGGCUAGUGGUCGACAUGUAUAGUUUUGUUGGGCGAUGCUUCGUCCAUGCCAGGCGACUGGUUGACGUGAAUAUCUUGCUUAGCCUAGGCUGCGUCUGUAGCCGUGUGCCUUGUCAGUUGUAUGGGUUUGUUUGGUAAUGCUGCAUGUGCAGUGCUGUACCAGUUAGGUUUAUGUUUGCUUGCCUACUUUGUGUCUGAAAUAGGCCACCACUGUAGAGGUUUGUUAUUAAUCCUAGGUUGCUGCGGUAGCAAUAAAUCUUUUCACGUGCUUAGUUUGGCCCAGCUGUGGCCGUAGAAGGCAACAAGACCACAGGCAAACAUUGGUCAGUCUGGGUUGCGUACAUAGAUUCCUAGUGGCUGAAUAAAUCACAGGUUGGGUUGACAAGGCUCUGUCCGAAGAGAUCGACUGUGUUGAAGGCCGCGUCCAUAGCAGCUUACUGCCUUACUUGCAUAGGUUUGUUGUGUCAGGCUUCGUCCAGAGGAGGAUAAUUUGUAACGUGGAUAUUACGAUAGUACUAGGCAGUGUCCUUUGCUAUGCUGCGUCCGUAGCUGGCUAAUUGCUCACUAUAAUUGAUAUCUUAGGAAGUCUAUCACAAGAAUGAUUGAAAGAAAGUGAUUUAAGAAGAACUGGAGUGCACGGAAGCACAGAAAAGAAUGUUUAAGAGCACAUGAAAUUUUGAAAUAUAAUAAAUUGUUUCAAAUACAGAAAAAUUGAAUUAAAUUAAUUCUUAACGUUUAAUUUAGAUAGAAGAAAAAUAAAGAAAUUUAUUUAACUUGUUCACUUUACUAUUGUUAAUCUUUAAGCGUUAAAAAUUUCUGGCAAACACUUAUUAAAGUUGAAGUAGUACAUUAUGUUCAUGAGAUGGGAAGCCAUAAAUGCAACAGAUGAUGCUUACAUACACAUUAACAGAUCACUCUUAAAGAUAUUGUGUGUCUAUUAACCGACUAACAAAGUUCUAAUUCUUCCUUCUACUGGUGAUGGGUUCCUUAUGUUGCUUAUGCAUGGCCGGCGCACUGUAGCAGUAACAUUAAGUGAUCUGUAAAUGUGUUUGUAUUGUCAUUGCUUCUUGUUUGUGCGAGGAAGCAGACAGGCAACUUAUUUAAGAACAUACAGGAUGAUUUAUAGUACAAUGAAGUGUUACAUACAACUGAUAAAGAUACAGAAGGAAAGAUGCAAUUAAGUAAAACUGAAUUUAAAAUUGUAGUAUCAUACAGUUGAUAUGUAGUUAUGAUAAAGUGAGGUCUGAUGACAACUCCCUAAAAUGCUACAUUCUUAGAGGCAUAGGUUGGUGUGGCUAGGCUACGUCCACAGCAAGGUACUUUCUCGAGUGUAUUGGGUGAUUGGGCUAUGCUGUGUCUAAAACAGGCUACCACCUGAUUGGCAUAGGUUGUUUACUUUAGUGUGCGUCCAAAGCAUGGGAUAUUUUUUAUUCUGUGAUUUCAAAUAUUAUAGAUGUGACACUUUUAAAUUUGUUGAUAAAAUUUCUAGAUUUCAUAAUGUGAUUAUCGUCGAAGAUAAGCCAUUCAUCGUUAUAACGACCAACAUGUAACGUGGCGAUCCAACGAACGACGAGUUUUUCUUCUUUUCUUUUGCAAGUUUGCUUUCAAACUGCUGCUCUUACGAUCUACACGUUUACGUCGUUGGUGUUGGUACUUUUCACGUUUCAGUGUCAACGGAAUAUUGUUAGCUACACUUAAUUAAAA